UACGAAGGGCCCGAGCGUUAAUCGGAAUCACUGGGCUUAAAGCGUACGUAGGCGGGUGCGCAGGCAUCUUGUGAAAUCCCUCGGCUCAACCGAGGAACUGCAGGGUGAACCGCGCAUCUUGAGACGAGUAGGGGCUGUCGGAACGCUAGGUGGAGUGGUGAAAUGCGUUGAUAUCUAGCGGAACGCCGAAGGAGAAAUCAGGCAGCUGGGCUUGUUCUGACGCUGAGGUACGAAAGCGUGGGGAGCGAACGGG
rnacentral:rRNA from 1 species